GGGUCUGUAGCUCAGUUGGUUAGAGCGCACCCNUAGCGCCUGCCUUGCACGCAGGAGGUCAACGGUUCGAUCCCGUUUAGCUCCA
rnacentral:tRNA from 1 species